rnacentral:rRNA from 1 species
AGUGAACGCUGGCGGUAGGCCUAACACAUGCAAGUCGAACGGCAGCGCAGUAAGAGCUUGCUCUUACGGGUGGCGAGUGGCGGACGGGUGAGGAAUACAUCGGAAUCUACUUUUUCGUGGGGGAUAACGUAGGGAAACUUACGCUAAUACCGCAUACGACCUACGGGUGAAAGCAGGGGAUCUUCGGACCUUGCGCGAUUGAAUGAGCCGAUGGCGGAUUAGCUAGUUGGCGGGGUAAAGGCCCACCAAGGCGACGAUCCGUAGCUGGUCUGAGAGGAUGAUCAGCCACACUGGAACUGAGACACGGUCCAGACUCCUACGGGAGGCAGCAGUGGGGAAUAUUGGACAAUGGGCGCAAGCCUGAUCCAGCCAUACCGCGUGGGUGAAGAAGGCCUUCGGGUUGUAAAGCCCUUUUGUUGGGAAAGAAAAGCAGCAGGUUAAUACCCCGCUGUUCUGACGGUACCCAAAGAAUAAGCACCGGCUAACUUCGUG